rnacentral:lncRNA from 1 species
AGAGAUGACAAUGUAUCAAAUAAUAAUUUCCUUGUUAUGAUUUUGUAGAAAGAGAUUUACUUGAGUGGUUAGCUGGUCUUGAACCUGUUCAAGAUGUAUAUGAUAAUGAAAGAGGUUAUCAAGGUGAUAGGGCAAAAAGUGAUGACAAGUUAAGUGAUGAAGACGAAAGUGAUGGGGAGGAAGAAAUCGCCCACUCUGUACCAUUCAAGUGCAUCGGUGCUGCUCAUGAGAAAAACUACUGACAUCAUUUGGAAAAUUAAGGCAUAAUACCUCGCUCUUCAUAAACAAGAUAAAACAGUGAAUUCAAUGUAAGAAUACGGCCAGCACCAUUGAAUCCAAGGGACCCAAGUGCAAUGGUCAAUUCCAGCUUUUAGGUUAUACAUGCAGGGGGUGAUGGGAAGUAAGGUAUCAUAUUGCUGAUAAUGCUGAAAAAUAGAAAUGGUGGCCAUGUAAACAUGGAUAGAUAGCUAUUGUAAAUAUUGAAAUAUUUUGGUUGUUUAGGUAGUUUAUUAAAAUUUUUCAGCAUAAUCAGCAAUAUGAUACCUUACUUCCCGUCACCCCCUGCAUGCAUAAAUUAAAAGCUGGAAUUGCCUAUUUGAUCUAGACUAUGGAACUGUAUGGACACAUGUUGGUUAAUUGCUUCUGAACUAUGCAAGUAUUUGCACCCACUUAUUGCUGCAGGAGAUGUCGUGGAUGUCUAUGUUCAGUGUAUCAAGUAUAGGGUUGACUUUUUUAAUUAAAAAUAGGAUUUUAUCCAAACAUUUUCAUAAAGACACCUGGGGCCGGUUGUUCAAAAGUGG